rnacentral:lncRNA from 1 species
GAUUGAUAGUUACCUGGGUAGUUACAUACAUGACGGGCACAAGAAGGUAACUAUCAAUGUAACUAUCCAUGUAACUAGCCAUCUAUGUAACUAUCUAUGUAACUAUCCUGUAACUAUCUAUCCAUGUAACUAUGCAUGUAACUAGCCAUCUAUGUAACUAUCUAUGUAACUAUCCUGUAACUAUCUAUCCAUGUAACUAUGCAUGUAACUAUCUAUGUAACUAUGUAACUAGCAAUGUAACUAUGUAUGUAAUUAUCCAUCUAUGUAACUAUCUAUGUAACUAUGCAUGUAAGUAUCAAUGUAACUGUCUAUGUAACUGUCUAUGUAACUAUCCAUGUAACUACAGAUUGAUAGUUACCUGGGUAGUUACGUACAUACAUACACUUGUGUACCUGCCUAUGUAACUAUGCAUAUAACUAUCCAUCCAUGUAACUAUCUUGUAACUAUCCAUCCAUGUAACUAUACAUGUAAUUAUGCAUGUAACUAUCUAUGUAACUAUAACUAUGUAUGUAACUAUCCAUGUAACUAUGCAUGUAACUGUCUAUGUAACUAUCCAUGUAACUAUGCAUGUAAUUAUCAAUGUAACUAUCCAUGUACCUAUGCAUAUAACUAUGUAUGUAACUAUCAAUGUAAUUAUCCAUAUAACUAUGCAUGUAACUAUUGAUAUAACUACAGAUUGAUAGUUGUCUGGGUAGUUACAUGUAUGCUACACUUGUGUACUUGCCUAUGUAACGAUCCAUCUAUGUAACUAUCCAUGUAACUAUAGAUUGCUAGUUACCUGGGUAGUUACAUUGCUAGUUACAUGGAUUUUAAUAGAUUUCUGUUCUAAUACGCAGCGGGACGUUGCCAUUGCGGUGCAGCGGGACGCUGCCGUUGUGGUGCAGCGGCACGCUGCAAUUAUUAUUAUGUAAAUGACUUGUGUACCUACAUUAAGCUACUUAUCUAACUAUCAAUAUAACUAUUCAUGUAUCUAUCCAUGUAACUAUGCAUGUAACUAUCCAUCUAUGUAACUAUGCAUGUAACUAUCCAUGUAACUACCGACUGAUAGUUACAUGUGUAGCUUCAUACAUUCUACAUAACAAGCUACACUUCUUCUUUUUUCUCACACAGAACGCAGAAUAUGGCAAAGUAAAGCAAUCUGUAUUAAUUGUAAAUCAUCAAAUUAAGAAUACCUAGGAAACAAUUUAGUGCUAACACAACUCUUAGAACUCUGGCUUUCCUCAUUCAUCGUUUAAUCCAAAAUUCAUUACAAAAUAGAGUAGGAAGGAAGGAACCAUUAUUGUCACCAUGCUUUAGUGUCACUUAACAUUGAUUUCAGUAUGACUUUAUCACUACCUUUCCUCAAUGCAAUCUGCAUAAGUAUAAAACAUUAUGAAGUUGUUUGGGUGUUGAAAAUGAAGAACCCAAAAACAG